rnacentral:rRNA from 1 species
GACGAACGUUGGCGGCGUGCUUAACACAUGCAAGUCGAACGGAAAGGCCCUGCUUUUGUGGGGUGCUCGAGUGGCGAACGGGUGAGUAACACGUGAGUAACCUGCCCUUGACUUUGGGAUAACUUCAGGAAACUGGGGCUAAUACCGGAUAGGAGCUCCUGCUGCAUGGUGGGGGUUGGAAAGUUUCGGCGGUUGGGGAUGGACUCGCGGCUUAUCAGCUUGUUGGUGGGGUAGUGGCUUACCAAGGCUUUGACGGGUAGCCGGCCUGAGAGGGUGACCGGCCACAUUGGGACUGAGAUACGGCCCAGACUCCUACGGGAGGCAGCAGUGGGGAAUAUUGCACAAUGGGCGGAAGCCUGAUGCAGCAACGCCGCGUGCGGGAUGACGGCCUUCGGGUUGUAAACCGCUUUCGCCUGUGACGAAGCGUGAGUGACGGUAAUGGGUAAAGAAGCACCGGCUAACUACGUGCCAGCAGCCGCGGUGAUACGUAGGGUGCGAGCGUUGUCCGGAUUUAUUGGGCGUAAAGGGCUCGUAGGUGGUUGAUCGCGUCGGAAGUGUAAUCUUGGGGCUUAACCCUGAGCGUGCUUUCGAUACGGGUUGACUUGAGGAAGGUAGGGGAGAAUGGAAUUCCUGGUGGAGCGGUGGAAUGCGCAGAUAUCAGGAGGAACACCAGUGGCGAAGGCGGUUCUCUGGGCCUUUCCUGACGCUGAGGAGCGAAAGCGUGGGGAGCGAACAGGCUUAGAUACCCUGGUAGUCCACGCUGUAAACGGUGGGUACUAGGUGUGGGGUCCAUUCCACGGGUUCCGUGCCGUAGCUAACGCUUUAAGUACCCCGCCUGGGGAGUACGGCCGCAAGGCUAAAACUCAAAGGAAUUGACGGGGCCCCGCACAAGCGGCGGAGCAUGCGGAUUAAUUCGAUGCAACGCGUAGAACCUUACCUGGGUUUGACAUGGAUCGGGAGUGCUCAGAGAUGGGUGUGCCUCUUUUGGGGUCGGUUCACAGGUGGUGCAUGCCUGUCGUCAGCUCGUGUCGUGAGAUGUUGGGUUAAGUCCCGCAACGAGCGCAACCCUUGUUCACUGUUGCCAGCACGUUAUGGUGGGGACUCAGUGGAGACCGCCGGGGUCAACUCGGAGGAAGGUGGGGAUGACGUCAAGUCCUCAUGCCCCUUAUGUCCAGGGCUUCACGCAUGCUACAAUGGCUGGUACAGAGAGUGGCGAGCCUGUGAGGGUGAGCGAAUCUCGGAAAGCCGGUCUCAGUUCGGAUUGGGGUCUGCAACUCGACCUCACGAAGUCGGAGUCGCUAGUAAUCGCAAAUCAGCAACGCUGCGGUGAAUACGUUCCCGGGGCC